AUUGAACGCUGGCGGCAGGCCUAACACAUGCAAGUCGAGCGAGCGGCGGACGGGUGAGUAAUGUAUGGGGACUGCCCGAUAGAGGUGGAUAACUGCUGGAAACGGUAGCUAAUACCGCAUACUAUCGGAUAACCCAUAUGGGAUUAGCUAGUAGGUGAGGUAAUGGCUAACCUAGGCGACGAUCCCUAGUUGGUCUGAGAGGAUGAUCAGCCACACUGGAACUGAGACACGGCCCAGACUCCUACGGAGGCAGCAGUGGGGAAUAUUGCGCAAUGGGCGAAAGCCUGACGGAGCCAUGCCGCGUGAGUGAAGAAGGCUCUAGGGUUGUAAAGUACUGUCAGUAGAGAAGCGGUACCUAAAGAGGAAGCACCGGCUAACUACGUGCCAGCAGCCGCGGUAAUAC
rnacentral:rRNA from 1 species